ensembl:snoRNA small nucleolar RNA SNORD88
CUUCUCCACAUGAUGUCCAGCACUGGGCUCUGACAUCCUUGAGGACAUGGAGUUCCUAGGAACUUUGACUCCAGGGAUAUGAGGAGACU